UACGUAGGUCCCGAGCGUUGUCCGGAUUUAUUGGGCGUAAAGCGAGCGCAGGUGGUUUAUUAAGUCUGGUGUAAAAGGCAGUGGCUCAACCAUUGUAUGCAUUGGAAACUGGUAGACUUGAGUGCAGGAGAGGAGAGUGGAAUUCCAUGUGUAGCGGUGAAAUGCGUAGAUAUAUGGAGGAACACCGGUGGCGAAAGCGGCUCUCUGGCCUGUAACUGACACUGAGGCUCGAAAGCGUGGGGGGCAAACAGG
rnacentral:rRNA from 1 species